rnacentral:rRNA from 1 species
UAGGGGGCAAGCGUUAUCCGGAUUUACUGGGUGUAAAGGGAGCGUAGACGGCUGUGCAAGUCAGAAGUGAAAGCCCGGGGCUCAACCGCGGGACUGCUUUUGAAACUGUGUAGCUGGAGUGCAGGAGAGGUAAGUGGAAUUCCUAGUGUAGCGGUGAAAUGCGUAGAUAUUAGGAGGAACACCGGUGGCGAAGGCGGCUUACUGGACUGUAACUGACGUUGAGGCUCGAAAGCGUGGGGAGCAAA